rnacentral:tRNA from 1 species
ACAGAGCCUUAGUAGUAUAACUAAUACACUGGUCUUGUAAACC